rnacentral:rRNA from 1 species
GACGAACGCUGGCGGCGUGCUUAACACAUGCAAGUCGAACGGAAAGGCCCUGCUUUGGUGGGGUGCUUGAGUGGCGAACGGGUGAGUAACACGUGAGUAACCUGCCCUUGACUUUGGGAUAACUUCAGGAAACUGGGGCUAAUACCGGAUAGGAGCUCCUGCUGCAUGGUGGGGGGUGGAAAGUUUGGGCGGUUGGGGAUGGACUCGCGGCUUAUCAGCUUGUUGGUGGGGUAGUGGCUUACCAAGGCUUUGACGGGUAGCCGGCCUGAGAGGGUGACCGGCGACAUUGGGACUGCGAUACGGCCCAGACUCGUACGGGAGGCAGCGGUGGGGAAUAUUGCACAAUGGGCGGAAGCCUGAUGCAGCAACGCCGCGUGCGGGAUAACCGCCUUCGGGUUGUAAACCGCUUUCGCCUGUGCCGAAGCGUGAGUGACGGUAAUGGGUAAAAAAGCACCGGCUAACUACGUG